rnacentral:rRNA from 1 species
AUUGAACGCUGGCGGCAGGCCUAACACAUGCAAGUCGAGCGAGCGGCGGACGGGUGAGUAAUGUAUGGGGAUCUGCCCGAUAGAGGGGGAUAACUACUGGAAACGGUGGCUCAUACCGCAUACUAUCGGAUGAACCCAUAUGGGAUUAGCUAGUAGGGGGGGUAAAGGCUCACCCAGGCGACGAUCCCUAGCUGGGCUGAGAGGAUGACCAGCCACACUGGGACUGAGACACGGCCCAGACUCCUACGGGAGGCAGCAGUGGGGAAUAUUGCACAAUGGGCGCAAGCCUGAUGCAGCCAUGCCGCGUGUAUGAAGAAGGCCUUAGGGUUGUAAAGUACUUUCAGCGGGUAGGCGUUACCCGCAGAAGAAGCACCGGCUAACGCCGUGCCAGCAGCCGCGGUAAUAC